GAUGAACGCUGACAGAAUGCUUAACACAUGCAAGUCGAUGGGGAAGUGGUGCUUGCACCAUGGCAACCAUGGCGGACGGGUGAGUAACGCGUAAGGGACUUACCUGCAGGACUGGGAUAACAGGGGGAAACUCCUGACAAGACCGGAUAAUGUCAUGGAGCUGCAUGGCUUUAUGAUGAAAGGAGACGCCUGCGGAGAGCCUUGCGUCCUAUUAGCUAGUUGGUGAGGUAAUGGCUCACCAAGGCGAAGAUAGGUAGCCGGCCUGAGAGGGUGGACGGCCACAAGGGGACUGAGAUACGGCCCUUACUCCUACGGGAGGCAGCAGUGGGGAAUAUUGGACAAUGGGGGCAACCCUGACCCAGCAAUUCUGUGUGCACGAAGAAGGUUUUCGGAUUGUAAAGUGCUUUCAGCAGGGAAGAAGUAAGUGACGGUACCUGCAGAAGAAGCGACGGCUAAAUACGUG
rnacentral:rRNA from 1 species